rnacentral:tRNA from 1 species
GCGGGUGUAGCUCAGUGGUAGAGCACUGGCUUCCCAAGCCAGUCGUCGUGAGUUCGAUCCUCAUCACCCGCU